CGUCGACAGGCUUAUUUUAGCUAUUAUAAUCCGUUUGUUUCAUUCUAUUUUUCGAUGAGGUAAAUUGUAGCUCUCACGUGACCCAAUAAAUCUGGUCGGACUGCAAAAACUGCCAGGCUAAGGUGAGGCCGACCACUUUUUUUUUACUGUCCUCAAGGUCAGGUAUCCUACCAUACAAGUUUCAUUCUAUUUUUCGAUGAGGUUUUUUUUGAUGAAUUUUUGUCCAACGUUUUUGCCAUUUGUACAAAAUCUGCCAGGUUAAGCCUAGGCCGACCAAGUGCGUUGGAAUCUACUAAAUGUCAGGUACCUCUACAGGGUAGGUAUAUUCUAUUUUUUGAUGAGGUUUGUUUCAUGCAGCCGGCUCCCGGACUAUCAGCUCAACAAACGAAACAACAAAUUCGUUGGUCUGAUUGUUAGUUCAGCAGACCAUAAAAGGAAUGCGUUGGUGUUAAGGUGACCCUAUAUUAACGCUUAAGUAUUGUUUUUUAAUAGAUAGGUAAUAUAACGGCAACUUAACUUGUUGCAUUUUCUAAGUAUUGUCACAAGUAAUUUACUGAAAAUAUUGUACUUAUUUUUCCUAAUCAAGAGUUGCGCACAACGAUUUAAUAUUUCUUCUACUCACUAUUUUUGUAAAUAAUUAUUUUAUGUAUAACAAUCACUUCUAUAUACACCUUAUAAAUAAAAAUGUACAAAUG